rnacentral:rRNA from 1 species
AUUGAACGCUGGCGGCAGGCCUAACACAUGCAAGUCGAACGAGUGGCGGACGGGUGUGUAAUGUCUGGGAAACUGCCUGAUGGAGGGGGAUAACUACUGGAACCGGUAGCUAAUCCCGCAUACCAUCAGAUGUGCCCAGAUGGGAUUAGCUAGUUGGUGGGGUAACGGCUCACCAAGGCGACGAUCCCUAGCUGGUCUGAGAGGAUGACCAGCCACACUGGAACUGAGACACGGUCCAGACUCCUACGGGAGGCAGCAGUGGGGAAUAUUGCACAAUGGGCGCAAGCCUGAUGCAGCCAUGCCGCGUGUAUGAAGAAGGCCUUCGGGUUGUAAAGUACUUUCAGCGGGGAGGCGUUACCUACUGAAGAAGCACCGGCUAACUCCGUGCCAGCAGCCGCGGUAAUAC